rnacentral:lncRNA from 1 species
AGUAGGAGGUUUGUGGACGGGAGGUGGGGAUUGAACAGGUGGUGGCGGGUAAGCAGGAGGUGGCGAUUGAAUAGGUGGUGGUUGGUAAGCAGGAGGUGGGGAUUGAACCGGGGGUGGCUGGUAAGCAGGAGGUGGGGAUUGAACCAGGGGUGGCUGAUAAGCAGGAGGUUUGUGGAUAGGAGGUGGGGAUUGAACAGGUGGUGGCUGGUAAGCAGGAGGUGGGGAUUGAACAGGUGGUGUCUGGUAAGCUGGAGGUUUGUGGACAGGAUGUGGGGAUUGAACAGGGGAUGGAUGGUAAGUAGGAGGCUUGUGGACAGGAGGUGGUUGAUAAGUAGGAGGCUUGUGGACAGGAGGUGGCUGGUAAGUAGGAGGCGGGGAUUGAACGGGUGGAGGUUUGUGAACAGGAGGAGGGGAUUGAAUAGGUGGUGGCCAGUAAGCAGGAGGUUUGUGAACAGGAGGUGGGGAUUGAAUAGGGGGUGGUUUAUAAGUAGGAGGUUUGUGGACAGGAGGUGGAGAUUGAACAGGUGGAGGUUUGUGGACAGGAGGUGGGGAUUGAAUAGGUGGUGGCUGGUAAGCAGGAGGUGGGGAUUGAAUAGGUGGUGGUUGGUAAGUAGGAGGUGAGGAUUGAAUAGGUGGUGGCUGGUAAGUAGGAGGUUUGUGGAUAGAAGGUGGGGAUUUAACAGGUGGUGGUUGGUCAGCAGGAGGCUUUUGGAUAGGAGGUGGGGAUUGAACAGGUGGCGGCUGGUAAGCAGGAGGCUUGUGGACAGGAGGUGGAGAUUGAAUAGGUGAUGGCUUGUAAGCAG